rnacentral:rRNA from 1 species
AUGGCGGCGGCGUCCAUGCGUCGUUCCCUUCUUGAAGGCCCCAUUGCGGUGACCCUGCGCCCUUCGUGUUACUCCGGGUGGAAACCUAGAUUCCCUGGAUCGGGCGGUGGCGGCUCUUCGGUGCCGUUUCUUUCUUGGAAGCACCGCUUUGGAGUCCCUGGUUCGUCGAGUUGCGGCUUCGUCUCCUCGCGGUGA